UGCGAAUAGUUGUUGUUUUGUUUUCUUUCAUUCGUAGUCCAGGGUACAUAUUUAUAGUCUGGAGACUUGCUUCUCCUAACUUAUUCUAACUGACUAGAUACGAAUCUUGACUAUCUCUAUCUAAGCUAACUUAAAUGCACACAUCUAUCUAGAUACAUGGCCAAUCCUGGCCUUAAACUGCCCGCGCAGGAACCGAUUCGCAAACCCAUUACAAUUACCCUUUUAAGCCCAUCUUGCUCGCGGCCCACCUUCUAGCCCAGCCAAAUCAUAACGAUAACAAGCAUGUACACUACAAUCCUAACACUAAUACAGACACACAUCGUCAACAUCUUUACUGCAGCAAUCAACCUGUCCAUCUUCACUUCCAUUACACGUGGACACACUCUUCCAGCACCAGACGCCACAGCCAUGGAGUCAACUUCUUCGUCCAGUAUAACAUGGCCGGUAGAUAAUGGCCAUUGAUUCCUGCAGAUGGGCCACCAUCUAUAUCAGCAAGGUGCAUCUCCACAUAAUUGGAAGCACAAAGUUCCUGCAAGUAAAACCUCUAAAAUUUGUAGUACAGGCACCUUCCAGGCAUCUGUACUGGACGGGUGCAUAAUUAGUCACAACUAUCUUAUAAAAAAGAGCUGCAGCCCUAGGUCACAACAUUUUUCAAAGAUGCAUCCAAAAUCAGAAUUUGACUCACAUUUUCUAUGUUCCUUGGACACUUGAAGAACACACGUUCAUGAUGAAUACCUCCAUUCUUCACUCGCAGCUCAAUAACCCACUCCAUCUUACACAAGCGGCAAGGGAUCAGUGGCAAGCUGGUCUCAUCACCAACACGAAACUUGCCUCAACUGGGGCCGCGUGGACCUGCACCUACUAGCCAAGGACUCUCCAAUGUGAGACAUGCUGGCCGAGGGAGAGGGGGAGCAGCCUGGGGAUGCAGAUGGCGUCGCCCAGGUCGGAGGAGGAAGAAGAGGGCAGGAGGAAGAGGAGGGGAAUGGGG
rnacentral:lncRNA from 1 species